UACGAAGGGUGCGAGCGUUAUUCGGAAUUAUUGGGCGUACAGGGUGCGCAGGCGGCAUAUUAAGUCAACCGUUAAAGCCCCCAGCCUAACUGGGGAUCGGCGGUAGAAACUGGUAAGCUAGAGGAUGGAAGAGAGAAGUGGAAUUCUUGGAGUAGCGGUAAAAUGCGUAGAUCUCAAGAGGAACACCAAUGGCGAAGGCAGCUUCUUGGUCCAUUUCUGACGCUCAUGCACGAAAGCGUGGGGAGCAAACAGG
rnacentral:rRNA from 1 species